GCGUAUCAUAUCUGGUACCCGGUCAGUACUUAGUUAUACGACGAUGACUGCAGGUAAGCGAUGAAAAUAAUGAAAUUACGUUUCGUGUUUAUCUAGACAGUACCUGCGUUUUGUUCUAGCAAUUAUCUCUUAAAUAAAUCUAGAUAUUUUUAAAUUUCUCGUCACCUGUGUACCUUAUUUGUCGAUUUCGGCGUCUGCUUGUACACUGAUAUGGCAAAUGAAACUUAAUGAAAU